rnacentral:tRNA from 1 species
AAGUGAAAAAUAGAGUUCUAUGUUUGAUUACGGAUCGAAAAGGUUGUUCAUUUA